rnacentral:rRNA from 1 species
GACGAACGCUGGCGGCGUGCUUAACACAUGCAAGUCGAACGAAGUGGCGAACGGGUGAGUCACGCGUAAUCAACCUGCCCUUCAGAGGGGGACAACAGUUGGAAACGACUGCUAAUCCCGCAUACUGAAGGAGGGGAUUGCGUCGGAUUAGCUAGUUGGAGGGGUAACGGCCCACCCAGGCGAUGAUCAGUAGCCGGGCUGAGAGGAUGAACGGCCACAUUGGGACUGAGACACGGCCCAGACUCCUACGGGAGGCAGCAGUGGGGAAGCUUCCGAAAUGGACGAAAGGCUGACGGAGCAACGCCGCGUGAGUGAUGACGGCCUUCGGGUUGUAAAGCUCUGUUAAUCGGGACGCGGUACCGGAAUAGAAAGCCACGGCUAACUACGUGCCAGCAGCCGCGGUAAUAC